UCCUGGUUUCCCAGGCAGUCCCAUCAGAGUGCCUCCUUACGGAGUAGCAACUGAUAGCAAGAGUUGCGCUCGUUAAAGGACUUAACCCAACAUCUCACGACACGAGCUGACGACAGCCAUGCAGCACCUGUAUACUCGUCCAAGCUUUCGCUUGGAAGGCUCUAUCUCUAGAGCGGUCAGGCAUAUGUCAAGCCCAGGUAAGGUUCCUCGCGUAGUAUCGAAUUAAACCACAUGUUCCACCGCUUGUGCGGACCCCCGUCAAUUCCUUUGAGUUUUAGUCUUGCGACCGUAAUCCCCAGGCGGAUCACUUAACGCGUUAGCUACGACACUAAUCGUGCAAGCACGACUAACGUCCAGUGAUCAUCGUUUACAGCGCGGACUAC
rnacentral:misc_RNA from 1 species